GCUUGUCUCAAAGAUUAAGCCAUGCAUGUCUAAGUAUAAGCUUUUUGUACUGUGAAACUGCGAAUGGCUCAUUAAAUCAGUUAUCGUUUAUUUGAUCGCACCUUUACUACAUGGAUACCUGUGGUAAUUCUAGAGCUAAUACAUGCUUAAAACCCCGACUUCGGAAGGGGUGUAUUUAUUAGAUAAAAAACCAACGCCCUUCGGGGCUUCUUGGUGAAUCAUAAUAACUUAACGAAUCGCAUGGCCUUGCGCCGGCGAUGGUUCAUUCAAAUUUCUGCCCUAUCAACUUUCGAUGGUAGGAUAGUGGCCUACCAUGGUGGCAACGGGUAACGGGGAAUUAGGGUUCGAUUCCGGAGAGGGAGCCUGAGAAACGGCUACCACAUCCAAGGAAGGCAGCAG
rnacentral:rRNA from 1 species